rnacentral:rRNA from 1 species
UACGGAGGGUGCAAGCGUUGUCCGGAUUUAUUGGGCGUAAAGGGUGCGUAGGUGGAGCGAUAAGUCGGAAGUGAAAUCUAUACCGCUUAACGGAUAGUGGUCUUUCGAAACUGUCGCACUAGAGUGCAGGAGAGGGUGAUGGAAUUCCUGGUGUAGCGGUGGAAUGCGUAGAUAUCAGGAAGAACACCGGUUGCGAAGGCGAUCACCUGGCCUGUCACUGACGCUGAUGCACGAAAGCGUGGGGAGCGAACAGGAUUAGAUACCCGAGUA